UACGUAGGGGGCAAGCGUUGUCCGGAAUCAUUGGGCGUAAAGCGCGUGUAGGCGGCCCGAUAAGUCCGCUGUGAAAGUCCAGGGCUCAACCCUGGGAUGCCGGUGGAUACUGUCGGGCUCGAGUCCGGAAGAGGAGUGUGGAAUUCCUGGUGUAGCGGUGAAAUGCGCAGAUAUCAGGAGGAACACCAAUGGCGAAGGCGCACUCUGGGACGUGACUGACGGCUGAGACGCGAAAGCGUGGGGAGCAAACAGG
rnacentral:rRNA from 1 species